rnacentral:rRNA from 1 species
AGUGAACGCUGGCGGCAGGCCUAACACAUGCAAGUCGAGCGGCAGCGCGUCCGACCACCCUCGGGUGGUCGGAUGGCGGCGAGCGGCGGACGGGUGAGGAAUGCAUCGGAAUCUGCCUCGUUGUGGGGGAUAACGUAGGGAAACUUACGCUAAUACCGCAUACGACCUACGGGUGAAAGUGGGGGACCUUCGGGCCUCACGCGAUGAGAUGAGCCGAUGCCGGAUUAGCUAGUUGGCGGGGUAAAGGCCCACCAAGGCGACGAUCCGUAGCUGGUCUGAGAGGAUGAUCAGCCACACUGGAACUGAGACACGGUCCAGACUCCUACGGGAGGCAGCAGUGGGGAAUAUUGGACAAUGGGGGCAACCCUGAUCCAGCCAUGCCGCGUGUGAAGAAGGCC